rnacentral:rRNA from 1 species
UACGAAGGGGGCUAGCGUUGCUCGGAAUCACUGGGCGUAAAGCGCACGUAGGCGGCUUUUUAAGUCAGGGGUGAAAUCCUGGAGCUCAACUCCAGAACUGCCUUCGAUACUGGCGAUCUUGAGUCCGGAAGAAGUGAGUGGAACUCCUAGUGUAGAGGUGGAAUUCGUAGAUAUUAGGAAGAACACCAGUGGCGAAGGCGGCUCACUGGUCCGGUACUGACGCUGAGGUGCGAAAGCGUGGGGAGCAAACAGG